rnacentral:lncRNA from 1 species
UCAACAGAUUCGUCAAAAAGCAAAAGUUCAAGAUGGUUACCCUCACUACCAUAAUCCCAGCGCUGGAGCAGGGCGACUGGUUUUCUGCCCUCGACCUACAAGAUGCCUAUUUCCAUGUCACUAUACAUCCGGCCCACAGACGCUUCCUUCGAUUUACUCUCGGUUCGACACAUUUCCAAUACAGGGUACUCCCCUUCGGACUAUCCACAGCCCCCCGUGUCUUUUCCAAGCUUCUAGCUGUAGUCACUGCCUACCUCAGGAAACAAGGGGUCAUAAUAUUCCCUUACCUCGACGAUUGCCUCCUCAAAGCUUCAACAUUCGACGAGGCGCUCCGGUUCACACGGCUCACAGUCGAUUGUUUCCUAUCUCUCGGCCUACAAAUAAACAGAGACAAAUCCACAUUACGCCCCACCCAGCACCUGCAGUUCAUAGGCGCAGACCUCGACUCCCGGACGGGGUUGGCAUCGCUCCCACCCGAUCGCUUCAAUUCCAUAAACCAACUGGCCACAAUCAUUCGCAACAGUCCACAGGUGACUGCCCGAGACUGCCUACAACUACUAGGUCACAUGGCCUCGUGCACUUUUGUUGUCCAGAAUGCACGCCUCUACAUGAGGUGCUUCCAAGCGUGGCUGGCCACGGUCUACAAACCGAAUAUGCACUCUUUAAACAAGACUCUCUCCCUGCCUGCUCCAGUCAAAGAUUCGCUACAUUGGUGGACCGUUCACUCCAACCUCCGCUCUGGAGUCCCGUUUCUUCAGCAGGCUCCAUCACUCACCCUGACCACCGAUGCAUCUAUGACAGGUUGGGGUGCACAUAUGUCUCACCACACAGUACAGGGGCUAUGGUCACCAACCGAGACCUCCCUGCACAUAAAUGUCCUAGAACUUCGAGCCAUUCGCAACGCGUGCCGUCACUUCCUGCCACUAAUCAAGCAUCAUCACGUACGCAUAAUGACAGACAACAUUGCAUGCAUGUUUUACAUAAACAGGCAGGGAGGAGCUCGAUCCCAUUCGCUGUGCACAGAGGCUAUGAAGCUCUGGAAUUGGUGCAUUGCGAACAACAUCCGGGUAUCAGCUGCCUAUCUUCCCGGGAUCAUGAACACCACAGCGGACGAACUAAGCAGACGCUUCCCAUGGGACCACGAGUGGGAGAUAGACGAGAAAACCAUUCACAAUGUAUUC